rnacentral:lncRNA from 1 species
AAUUCACAUGUUGAAGUGGGGAGGUGUGUGCCAUGCAAAAGGGUACAGGCAAUGAAUUGGGAUGGGUUAGGCCCAAAUGGCCCAAACGCUAGACCAAAGGAUAGAAAACCCUAAGUUUGACCCAUUUGCCUCAUUGUUUCGUUCGACCCCUCUCUACCUUCUUCAUCUCUACAAAUCUUUCCCUCACCCAUCACCUUGUCAGAGGCGGUAAUGUCGAC